rnacentral:rRNA from 1 species
GACGAACGCUGGCGGCGUGCUUAACACAUGCAAGUCGAACGGAAAGGCCCUGCUUUUGUGGGGUGCUCGAGUGGCGAACGGGUGAGUAACACGUGAGUAACCUGCCCUUGACUUUGGGAUAACUUCAGGAAACUGGGGCUAAUACCGGAUAGGAGCUCCUGCUGCAUGGUGGGGGUUGGAAAGUUUCGGCGGUUGGGGAUGGACUCGCGGCUUAUCAGCUUGUUGGUGGGGUAGUGGCUUACCAAGGCUUUGACGGGUAGCCGGCCUGAGAGGGUGACCGGCCACAUUGGUACUGAGGGACGGCCCAGACUCCUACGGGAGGCAGCAGUGGGGAGUAUUGCACAAUGGGCGGGAGCCUGAUGCAGCAACGCCGCGUGCGGGAUGACGGCCUUCGGGUUGUAAACCGCUUUCGCCUGUGACGAAGCGUGAGUGACGGUAAUUGGUAAAGAAGCACCGGCUAACUACGUG